rnacentral:rRNA from 1 species
GAUGAACGCUGGCGGCGUGCCUAAUACAUGCAAGUCGAGCGAACAGAUAAGGAGCUUGCUCCUUUGACGUUAGCGGCGGACGGGUGAGUAACACGUGGGUAACCUACCUAUAAGACUGGAAUAACUCCGGGAAACCGGGGCUAAUGCAGGAUAACAUGUUGAACCGCAUGGUUCUACAGUGAAAGGCGGCUUUGCUGUCACUUAUAGAUGGACCCGCGCCGUAUUAGCUAGUUGGUGAGGUAACGGCUCACCAAGGCAACGAUACGUAGCCGACCUGAGAGGGUGAUCGGCCACACUGGAACUGAGACACGGUCCAGACUCCUACGGGAGGCAGCAGUAGGGAAUCUUCCGCAAUGGGCGAAAGCCUGACGGAGCAACGCCGCGUGAGUGAUGAAGGUCUUCGGAUCGUAAAACUCUGUUAUUAGGGAAGAAAAAAUGCGUAAGUAACUGUGCGCGUCUUGACGGUACCUAAUCAGAAAGCCACGGCUAACUACGUG